AAGAACUCGACUCAGCACAGCCUCUGCUGAAUGCAGCAACCGGCGUCAUCAUAAUGAAAAUUUGCAACACUAGAACAAAGUUGCUGAAAGGUUUUCUAGGCUAUGCUUUAUUCUGUGCUGAUAACACUCCAGGACCAUUUUGUUAUUGAGUAUCAAAGACUUGCAGAAAGCACCCCAGGAUUUACUCUUCGCCUGCUUAUGUGAGAUGUCUGCUACUGCUGAGCCAUGUGCACUUCGGUCAAAACAGAGCAGGCAAUGAGUCAUCCGGAGACUGCGUCUAGAUCGUGACUGCACUGACAAAAGGACUCGUCUGUGGAAGUUGCCGUCGAUUUGCAGGCAUGCUGGUUGCCGGGGAAACGGAUUUUGAAGUUGCACAUAACCGGUGGUGCCUUCUCUGCACUGCAGCAAGAAUCACAUAUCACAGGGCACGGGGAGAACAUGCAAACACCACACGGAAAAGCCCCUGCCUGUUCGAACCCGGGAGACGAACCCAGGACCUUUUUGCUGUGAGGCAACAGUACUAAGCCACCAUGCUACCCAACCAGAAAACAACAAAAUGCAAUUGUCCUCCUCAAGACACAAGCUUCAACUUUCAAGCUUGAAGUUACUGUUGGUAGUGACAUGAGCCAAAGCAAAUGUUGAAUCCUAUCUACCUACCUAUGUUGUACACUAUCUACAUGCUUAUUUGUGUAUUUACUUCUGUAAUCUAUGAACACACUGUUAAUUACAUAAUAUUUGUGUAACAGUUAAUAUAUAGUCGGACCAGAAAUGCACACAACUAAUCCAGGAAAAUAGAAUCUGUGUAAAACCUAUAGAACAUAUUAUGGGUAAAAAUUAAACAAUACAUCUGUAUCAUAUCUAGAUGUCUUCUCAAAAACAGGGUAUGAUGGUUGCUAUAAUUACUUUCAGGGGGGAAAUUGUCUGUGCUCAUAACUUGAUAUCUGACAAACCCCCAUUUUUAUCUGAUGUGUCACUCAACAGUAUAGGCCAUGCUGAUUUUAUUGGAAUUUUAUCUUUGUGAAUGUUGUAUAACCCUCUUUUCAUGAUGUCUGGGACUUGAGCUAGAGUUACCAGUCAUCUUCCAAUGCUUUAUUGUGUAACUAGAUAUUGCAACUGUGAUAAGACAAUACUAUGACAUCAUAUAUUACUGGGAAAUGUCCCAUGGAUUGAUGGUAAUGUAAAGCAGCCCAUAAUGUCUCUUUGUCUUUGAUGUUCUGAAUAGAAAA